ACUUGAAAAAAGUAAUCAGAUUACAGUAACCCGUUACAAGUAACGCGUUACUGCCCAUCUCUGCUCAGCAUCACAGAACAUCCAGAAACAACAGAGAGUCUUCACAGACAGCUCACUGUGUAGAGCUCAGACAUCAUCAUAAUCUUCUGAAUGUUGUUGAUUGCAGCAGACAGUAAAACAAAUGCAGCUCAGCAGCCUUCAGACUGAAAUGAGAUGCUGCAGAGGAAAACUUCUUUUCUGAAAAUGCACUGGGCUUCACAUUCAUGUCCUUGUCCACAGCGAACACGGAGCAGAGAAUUUCCACCCAGUUUUUCUUUGUCACAGAAUAACAAAGGAAUAUUAUCUUCAGAAGAGCUCUGAUCACUUCAGGAUGUUUGCUGUCCACCAACUGAAACCUAAGAAAGAGAAUCCUGGGACUCUAACAACAACAACAACAUCCAUCCAUUCUCUUCCACUUAUCCCUGUCAGGGUUGCUGGAGCCUAUCAGGGUACACUGUGGACAGCUUGCCAGCCUGACGCAGGGCUAACACAUACAGACAGAAAAUCAUUCACACUCACAGUCAGCUCUAUGGGCAUUUUGGAUUCUCCAGUUAACCUAGCCCCACUAAUUGCAUGUCUUUAAACUGUGGGACGAAGCUGGACAAAGAAACCAUUAUGGCUGAGAAGACAAACAAAGAAACAGGAGGGCAACUGGAAGUACAAAGAACUUAGCAAAAAAUCUGAACUUGUAAAAGCUAAGAAAACAGAUCACAAGAGGCUGGAAAACAGAGACACAGGGAAACAGGCAGAAGGACUGCAGGGGCAACAUGGAGGAUGAUCACACAGAUGGCCUGACAAGGAACAGAGGAAAGCACAGACUGUUGCUGUGUCCAAAUUCAGGGGAAGGAUCCUUCGAAGGAUUCUACCUACCUGUGUCACGUAGGAAGGGUCUUUCGACGGCAGUGUAGGCCAGAAGUGAGCAGAUGUGAAAUUGGACGGCCUUCUAGCCUUCGUUCAAGUCCGCCCUUAAUUCCGUUUUUUUUCCAGUCACUAGCGCCACAGCGUGAAAAUUUUAUAAUGGACCCAACAAUGUCGCUAUGUUUAUGUGUCUUGGUGGCUGUUUCUUGUUCUGUCUGUGUUUUUAAGUCUUUGCAGGUCCCUGAUUGGAUAAACUGACGGCUGCUGAUUGGUCCCCUGAUCAUGUGGUUGCUUUGAAAAUCUGUCACCAGCAGUUGUCCCGGGGCAGCCACUGACAGCAGCAGCAGACCUGACCCUCCAAAAGCUGUGUCAUUCGUGUUUGAGAUUCUCGUAACUUACCGAGCUUUGUAUAUAGUGUGUACAUUAGUUUUCACUUGUAAAUAGCACAUUGUAAAUAGCACUGAAAUAGAAGGGGUGAGCUGCCUUAUUAUUUUUCCUUGCACUGUUUUCUCCUGUUUAUUUCAGUUAGGGAGUUAGGUGUAGCGUUUGUCUUUUGUUUGGUUUUUGUUUCACAUAGGGUUUUAGACAACACCCCCUCUCCUGACUUAGCUUGUUUUGUUUGUUAUUUUGGCCUUUUUUCACCCCGGAGCUUCAUUUUCAGUGUAGAAAAAUAA